rnacentral:rRNA from 1 species
ACUAACAGGAUUCCCCUAGUAACUGCGAGUGAAGCGGGAAAAGCUCAAAUUUAAAAUCUGGCGGUCUUUGGCCGUCCGAGUUGUAAUCUAGAGAAGUAAUGCCCGUGCUGGACCGUGUAUAAGUCUCCUGGGAUGGGGCGUCAUAGAGGGUGAGAAUCCCGUCUUUGACACGGACUACCAGUGCAUUGUGGUAUGCUCUCAAAGAGUCGAGUUGUUUGGGAAUGCAGCUCAAAAUGGGUGGUAAAUUCCAUCUAAAGCUAAAUAUUGGCGAGAGACCGAUAGCGAACAAGUACCGUGAGGGAAAGAUGAAAAGAACUUUGGAAAGAGAGUUAAACAGUACGUGAAAUUGCUGAAAGGGAAACGCUUGAAGUCAGUCGCGUUGGCCGGGGAUCAGCCUUGCUUUUGCAUGGUGUACUUUCUGGUUGACGGGUCAGCAUCAAUUUUGACCGCUGGAAAAAGACCUGGGGAAUGUGGCAGCUUCGGCUGUGUUAUAGCCCCUAGUCGCAUACAGUGGUUGGGAUUGAGGAACUCAGCACGCCGCAAGGCCGGGUUUCGACCACGUUCGUGCUUAGGAUGCUGGCAUAAUGGCUUUAAGCGACCCGUCUUGAAACACGGACCAAGGAGUCUAACAUGCCUGCGAGUAUUUGGGUGGAAAACCCAAGUGCGUAAUGAAAGUGAAAGUUGAGAUCCCUGUCGUGGGGAGCAUCGACGCCCGGACCAGAACUUUUGGGACGGAUCCGCGGUGGAGCAUGUAUGUUGGGACCCGAAAGAUGGUGAACUAUGCCUGAAUAGGGUGAAGCCAGAGGAAACUCUGGUGGAGGCUCGUAGCGAUUCUGACGUGCAAAUCGAUCGUCAAAUUUGGGUAUAGG